GCUGAUGAUUCCUUGUUCAAUGGUAUUGUUUCAUUCUUGGUUGCAAUAAUGCCCCCAGCACCGUUAGUAUGGGUAGAUGAUCCCCAUCUUCUCUGCGACCCUGGCCUGUAACACAAUUGAAAAACAACGAGAAGAGAAGAAUGCAGAAGUUGUACAACACUCACUUAUGAAUUGAAUAAGGUUGACAUCUUUCCAUUGGCUUCCGCAACAAGACCCUUUUCUGUAUGGAUCCUAAAAUUUCCGACGAUUGCCCAACCUUCAUCCUGCUACACAAUACUUGCAACAAAUAGGUAAAAUAGAUUUUCAAAAGCAAAGAAACCACUAUUGCUUGUAUCUUGUUCAAAUUGACACAAUUUUCAAGCGAAAUGCGUCGAUAAUUCGCACCACCAAGUUCGCUGCCCAAGUUCGUCACUAUGUAUUGAACAACGAACAAAACAUUAAGAUACAACCCAUGCCCACCAGAAGAAAUCGCAGCAGACGUCAGACUCACGCCAUUUUCACAACAAAAGCUGGGAUUGGUCAGAUUCACAAGGCCACGCCUGCAGGACUUGAAUUGAUGAUUGCCAACAAAUUCUACGUCACGUUUCUCGCCCCCUUUCCAGCGACUGUUUAUCAAACAUUGUUUGCUGUCCCAAAUUGCAAAAAAAAGGCAAAGCUUUGCUAUUUCCAUUUCCAAAUGAGGCAAACAGUGACAAAUAAACUGUGACGCAAUUGGCCAAAAAGAGUCGACAGAGCUCAGGUCACGGCCCCCUGUGCGAAACGAGUCGUUCAAAACAGACGACGCCAUUAUCGAUUGUGCUCAAAAUAACGUUUGACCCAAAAUUCUGGUCCAAAAUUCGUAACGUCAUUCGUUUGGUUUUCAUCACUGUGUGACGCAUGCCAAUAGACUGAGGGUUUGGCCUUUUUGUUUUUUCUUUCACGUACCCGGAAAAGUUUGCCGGUGCAUGUAAAUUCUGUUAUGAACGAGAAUCGUAGUGCUUCAUGAUUGUACCGCCCAAACAUCCACAAAACAAACAAAAUCAACAGCCUUGAGAGCAAACUUUGCUCGUUUCGUUAAAUGAAAAAAAAAAAAAAAACAACACAACAGCCAAAACCCUUUUGUCUGAACAAUAUUUACCUGCUGCGCAACAAACAUUAUGCAGCAUCAGCUAUUAUUGGCGCGAAAAAUAAAAAUUCCAAGGUUGCCUCAUAGCUGCGUCGUCAUCGUGCAUGAGAUAACUUUUACGGACGGGUGAUACUGUUGGAACGAGUUUGCAUAAGAAUUUCAAAACGUCACAUUGAUGUCUCAAGCUACAAUCCAUUUUGAAGGUUUGUACCAUGGUCUAUGGUUUGUACUGCUGUUUACUUCUGUGUUACUUGGAUUUGCACCUGUUUCAUUCUACUGUCUGCAGUGUAUGCUGUUGCAUUACGUUAAAGAUCAGCAAAAGUAGUGAAAACGUUCAUAAACAACCUGAAGUGUCCACUGUCCAGUUCAGAGAAUUUCUAGAAUUAUGUCACCAGAUUUUUUUUUUUUUUGCCUUUUCUUUUGUUAUUUUUCUAGUCUGAUAUGAAAUGUGCAACCCAAGAGUGUUGUUUUCAAAGAAAACGUUGAAGACUGGCCAGCAAUUUCAAGGCCAAUGCAAGAAACCGAACGAGCUGCCGCCUUGCGACAUUUAGGCGAGACGAAAGCUUCUGCUUCUCUGAUCUAGACACACAUGGUUUUGAUAUUCAAAUUCUAUCGAGGUCAAGUUAUUUGUAUACCCGUCUAGGAUGCUGAGCUUUGCUCUCAGGCAUUUACUUUUUUUUUGUUUUAUUUUUGUACACCUAAGGCGUCAUCGGAAAUGCUUACGUACCUAAAAAUCGACCGCUAGAUGGUUCUACAAGUUUCGCUAUUCAACUAGCAGAUGGCGCUGGAGAGCUAUCCCUUCGGAAAAAAAGACUCCAAAACAAACUAUAAUUGACAUUUUCUACUUUCUUAUUACGAAAGGCGAUGGCAACAAGACUUGACGGAAAAUGUUCGAUAAAAUCGGUCAGAUACGCAGACCCAAUCGACUUCUUCUGCCUAUAAAAGGAGUGAAUCUUAGUGGCCAUUAUUAUAGUGCUGCGCAACGUUCUCCCCUGCUGGGUUCGCCGUUGGGCGUUUCACUAGGUUUGCUGCUUCAUUCAUGCCGCAAGAUUCGCUUUUGCAGCCACUCAAGAACAAUUUGAAUAUAUGGUAAGCGACAGCAGACGCACACAGAAAUGUUUCAACAAGAAAAACAAAAAACAAAAAACGACGGCAUAAUAAUUCUUGCCUCAAGGUCGAUCCCGAGUGGUGUGGGUUUUUUGUUCCGCAGUCAGCAUAUAGUUAACGGAUAAUAUAACGGCCGGUCAGGUUAUUUCUCUCUUUCCCAAAGUUGGCUAAAGAAAAAAAAAAAAAAAACGUUUCAGAGAAAAAACAUAAAACUUGAACAUUAAAAAUGAAGCCAAGAAAAAGAAAAAAAUAUAUAUAUAGUUUCCCCUUUGGUCGAAUAACUCGUAAAUCAGUCAUCCCGAAUGUACAGGAGUAACAAAAACCCGGAGGCUACACGUUACCGAGACGAUUUGUUUAAAAUCUUUUUUUUUUUUCCAACGACGGGGGAUCAAAGGCUUUCAAAGAAGAAGAAGAAGAAAAAAAGGGACAGUUUUGAUAAUCGAAGAAGAGAUUCUUAAACAUCUUUCUCAACUGGAAAAUUUCAAAAUUUUGUUACAAAUUCUAGACGAAACAUUCCCCCCUUCCAAGGAAUGGUUCAACGAUACGCCGAGGAUGCGAUGCGACACAAGUCAAAAUUCUUUUUCAACAGCAAAAGAAACAACUGAAAAUUGGUAUUUCAUUUUGUGUGUUUGUUUUUUUUUUUUUUCUUCAGGAAGAACGAGCCGGUUAUGGGAACUCGCCACGUAAUGUUUAACGAGGUUUUGCGGUCCUACGCACUCCCCCCAUGAAAAAAAUAAAACUUUCGUCCAUUUUUUCUAUUUCUUUUUUUUUUCAUAUGAGAGACGAUGACUGUCAUAAAUCAGCUUGACUCUAUAUACACAUUCCAAAGGGUAAAAAAGAAGAAAUUACCUUACGUACGGGAAUGAUAUGCAGUCAAGGCUUUUUCCCCAUUUAAAAAAAAACUGCAAACGUUUAAGAAUUUUUAUAAAUGAAGAAUCUCAUCGAAUACGAUAUCUUUCCUGCAUUGCCCUUGUGUUCGUGAGAAGUUAAACGUCCUAGUUUGUAACACAUUUUGUAACCGAGAAUGAAGAAAGACAAUAGUUUUUUGUU